GUGGUGCCGGUGAUCUGGUGAGCUAUGGAGAUGGUUCAACUUCCAGAGGCUUCCUCAUAAAUUUUUGGAAUUUUUGAGACACAGAUAAACUUCGGGUGAUCGAGGUCAGCUAUUUUUCUGCAUCCAGCAGCCACAAUAGUCAUCGGUGUACUGCCACAGGAGGAGUUAUUUUACAGAGCAACCUGUUUUCUUCCUCGCAGGUUUAACGUCGAUUAUUUAAUUGUAUUAUUAUUCUCUAAAUUUGUAAUUUAGGACUCCGCAUGUGCUAGUAGUAGCAUUAAGCCUGUCAGGGACUGUAUGAAUUCAAGUUUGCAUAUUAAUAAAUGAAAAGAAAAAAAUUUUAUGAGUUUUAAA